rnacentral:lncRNA from 1 species
UUUUAAAAUCCAUGUACACAGCUUCUAUAAAUAGCUUGACAUUCACCAAUGUUUCCUUAUUUUGUAUUUGUUCUGUUUUAUGAGGAAAAUGUGAUCCAUCACUAUAAGAGAAUAGUUGCAUUAAGAUUAAGUCAUUAAUCUGAUGUAGACUGUUUAUUUGGACUGUUUGUUAGGACUUUGGUGAAUGAAGCCCGGUGGAGAUUAAGGAGUGUUUCAUUAUUUUUUUUUUUUAUUUAUUUCAUAGAAAACUGGACGCACAGUUCUGCUGGCCGGUCCUCCUGCACGUUCAGCUGCUGUGGCGACAUCUGAAUCUAUAUUUGGAUCGGGAUAUGAAUCUGGAUCUGGAUCUGAUGAAGAUCUUCGGGAUGCUGUAGAGAGCUUUCUGUCUUCUCGUCGGUUAAGUGCAGGAAAGCAGAUCAAGACAAAGGGUCAAAAAAACAGGAAGAUGAGCCCGCCCAGCCUUCAGCAGUGAUUGAACUAAAAAAGAAGCCGAAUGUAAAGUUUAAAAUUUAAUUAAUUAAAUUAAAA